rfam:Medicago truncatula strain A17 chromosome 6, whole genome shotgun sequence.
UACCGAGGUUUUCCUCGACAGUUAACUGCAGCCGGAUUUUUAAUUCCUUGGCAGUUAACUGCCGAGGAGGCAU